AGAGCACCUAUUAUGGGAUACACGUUUUUAAACAUCAUUUUGUGUGUAAGUGUGUAUUAGUACAUGCUAACGAUAUUCAAAAAGUACAUACCUCAAAGAAAACGAUGACGCGAGUUAUCGUCUCUAACGUUCGAGGACUACAAAAAACACUCGGAUUGUAGGCAACAGUUUACUUCCUGGGAUUAGUGACGUAGAUAAGACCAACAUUAUCAUAGUUCAGCCCUCUCUGCUUUGCUUGGGUACGCCCUCAAAGACGAGGGUGGGGAGCGCCGAGUCAGAAGAGAGCUAAAAUGGCGGAGGUUGUGAGUCCCUGCUUUGACUCUGUUUGCAAACUCUUGUUUCAUUGUUUAAGCGAUUAAAUCUCUCGAGUAGACGCUGUCUCUUUAGAUGCGAGGGAAAAUAGCACUUUAUGGACUUCCACAGAGGACAUCAUGUUUAAUACGGUUCCGGAAAAAUCCAGUCAGAAGUUGUUCACGGAGUUUUCACAAUAACUGCUUCUCAUGAACCGAAGCUGGAUGUCUCCUUCUGAAAGUUGGAUUGCUGUGCACUUCUGGAUCACAGGCUGUAAGUAUUCACGUUUAUUAUUUGCCUUUUACUGUACAUUACGUAACCGGUAACCGGAGAUUAACAUAAUGUGCGUGUAGAGCUAAGCUUGCAAGUGAACUGUUUUGUGUUGUAAUACUGUAUUUCAUAAACAACGUACCAUAUUUACACACGUGUAUGUUGAAUUAUGCAGACUAUCGUUUUUUUUAUCGAUGUUGGUUAAGACAUGUUUACAAACUUGCUAAGUUACCAGCUAAACUGUUACCGGUAAAAUUUGUUCUCAUGAUCAAACUCAAGAAACUCUAAGUACAGAUGAUUUGUUUAAAGUUAUAUGUAUUUUACUGUUGUUUUUACUUGAAGCUGUCUUAGAUUUUGAAACGAAGUAAACACGUAAUGUGUGUUGCUAAUGUUGGGCCAUGUAAUAUGUAAUACAUUUACGUUUUAAUGAAUAGUCUUACGAUUUAUAGUCAUGGUACUCUAUUGUUAUAAUAUGUCUUUUUGACUGAAUACAUGUUUGUUUUAUUUGUCUAUAUCUUAGAUUCGCAGCUGGACACAUUCUUCUACACUGUAUGCAAACAUGCAACAUCAUUACACACAGUACAAGGAGUCAGACUGGCAUAUGAGGAGCAAAGGUGUGUAACACAAAUGAUGUAUUUAGCUAAUGAAACCACUACCAGUCUUAGAUGUAUAACUGAUGAUGACAAAGUUUUUUUUUCUCUGCAUAAUCAUAGGAACCCAGGCAGUAGCAUCGUUUCACAAUGUUUCCAUCACCAUCAUCAGUGGAUGCCUUUGCCGUCCGUAGCCUGAGAUUUCAGAUUUGCAGCAAAAAAAAUUGAUUUUCUCAUUUAUUGGAAUGCUAUGCAGGUUGUACCUUGCAGCCAUCCAUUACAAUGUCACCAAGCCGUAACAAAAGCAGGAGAGGGAAAGUACAAGGCUAUGUUCCCAAAACACAAAUGACAUACCUUAUGUGGAUGAUGUGAUCAGGCUUGUGUUUGAUGAGGUAUUUGAAGAUAAGCUGAAGGAAGCCCUGAUUCCAAUGGACCUGGCAUCACAGUUUGAGAGACCUUCAAAGGAGGACGUGAUUGCAUGCCAUCUUCAGUGCAGGGGUCGUCAGAAGCCAACAUUCCGAUCAGGAAGCUCCAAGCGUAUCUGGAGAACAACACACGACAGGAUGAUAACCUUAUAGUGUCGUCUUAGAUAGCAUCAGCUGACAAAGCUUUGAUAUGCCAUUUAUCUGAAUAGAUAGCUGUAAGAAAUGAAUUGAACAAUUUUUGAAACAAGAGCACAAUAUGGUUACUAAAGUAUGUUUAUUUGUAUAUUGUUUAACAUUUAAAUAUAUAUUUGUAAUAAAUAAACUUUUGACUGA